rnacentral:rRNA from 1 species
UGGGGAAUCUUGGACAAUGGGCGCAAGCCUGAUCCAGCCAUGCCGCGUGGAUGAUGAAGGCCUUAGGGUUGUAAAAUCCUUUCGUGGGGGACGAUAAUGACGGUACCCCAAGAAGAAGCUCCGGCUAACUUCGUGCCAGCAGCCGCGGUAAUACGAAGGGGGCUAGCGUUGUUCGGAUUUACUGGGCGUAAAGCGCGUGUAGGCGGGUCGUUAAGUUGGGGGUGAAAUCCCGAGGCUCAACCUCGGAACUGCCUUCAAAACUGGCGACCUGGACUCAAGCAGAGGCAAGUGGAAUUGCAAGUGUAGAGGUGAAAUUCGUAGAUAUUCGCAGGAACACCAGUGGCGAAGGCGACUUGCUGGGCUUGUAGUGACGCUGAGACGCGAAAGCCAGGGGAGCAAACGGGAUUAGAUACCCCAGUAGUCCCUGAGCGGGCUGGCAAGGCGCAU